AUGGGCUCGCGUCUGAUUAGCUAGAUGGUGAGGUAAAGGCUCACCAUGGCAACGAUCAGUAGCUGGUCUGAGAGGAUGAGCAGCCACACUGGGACUGAGACACGGCCCAAACUCCUACGGGAGGCAGCAGUGGGGAAUUUUCCGCAAUGGGCGAAAGCCUGACGGAGCAAUACCGCGUGAGGGAGGAAGGUCUUUGGAUUGUAAACCUCUUUUAUUAGGGAAGAAGUUCUGACGGUACCUAAUGAAUAAGCAUCGGCUAACUCCGUGCCAGCAGCCGCGGUAAUACGGAGGAUGCAAGCGUUAUCCGGAAUUAUUGGGCGUAAAGCGUCCGUAGGUGGUCUUUCAAGUCUGCUGUUAAAGCAUGGGGCUUAACCCCAUAAAGGCGGUGGAAACUGAAAGACUAGAGUACAGUAGGGGUAGCAGGAAUUCCCAGUGUAGCGGUGAAAUGCGUAGAUAUUGGGAAGAACAUCGGUGGCGAAAGCGUGCUACUGGGCUGAAACUGACACUGAGGGACGAAAG
rnacentral:rRNA from 1 species